rnacentral:lncRNA from 1 species
UUUGGAUCCUUAGUUGACUAGUUCAUUUAGCUCAUUUUUUACUACCGUGACUCCGACUUUUUCGGGACAACUUGGGUUGGACUACACUUAAAGUUAGAGAUGGGUCAAAUACUCACAUCGAGAAGCUUUAGUACCUCUCUGGAAAAUCUUUUUCAUGUUGGGCUUCUUAAUGAGUCUUUGCAUUUGACGCCACUGGUUGCGAUCUUCCUCAAGAUAGGAUACAAUGUGUACACAUGAUGGGGACUAAUACCAUGUAGGUUUACUAGAGGUCCAACCUAAGGCAUUGAGUGACUCUUCAAACUUUCAACACAGGAUUACUCUUGGCCUUCAGACAGGCUAGAAGAAAUGACCACCAGUAGGAUUCACCCAUACCUAAAAAUUGCAUAUUUUAAAGUAGAUGGUAAGGGCUUCCUCCGGGAAGGUUGAUGAAUUUGCUCAGACGGAACGGCUUGAUGGCACUCAGGGUAAGGAGUUCAAAUGUGGGGGUCCAAGGUCUCACGUGCAACAAAGCUACUCCCUUCCCCAAUUUUUGAUAGGUCGGUAACUUAUACACUCAUGACUCCCAAUUGCGUCAUUAGGCUCCAACUCCAUACUAGAGCCCUCUCAAUUGGGUCCUCCAAUAAACUCUCGCGUUCCAUAUGAUCCUGGACAAUGGAUUCAAUGAAAUCUACUUCUUCUACAUGGUUUUUAAAAUUCCAUUUUGUUUACCCACCAUAAAAAUGUUAAUCUCUAAGGUCCAUGUUUUCAAAUGAAAGCUUAAGCAACCAAUUCCUACAAUGAAUGAUUUAGGCAGUAGCCAAGAAAGGUCAUCCCAAAAUGAUAGGAAUAUGAUGCUUAGAGGACUUUUCCCAUUCGGUGGGUAUCUAACACAAUGAAAUCUACGGAGGUUAGUAGCACUUUGUCCACUUGACGAGAGACAUCCUCAAUAAUUUCCAUUGUGUGAUCUUAAGUAGAAUGAUCGGCAAUUCCAAUGUAUCGAGUGCGGUCUUAAUCUCUAUAAACCUAGUUCUUUAUAAUUGAAUACGGAAGAAGAUUCAUACUAGAACUUAGGUCAGAAAAGUGUGAUCAAUUCCAUGGCCUCCUAUGGUACACGAAAUAGAGGACAUCUAGGCGGUCUUAUAUUUCGGCGUGGCGUCUUGCAUUGAGAGGAUGCACUCGGCUCUCAUUCAUCAUAGUAGUCUCAUCUAAACAUGCAACGUUCUUUUCACAAGUACACAAGGCCUGUAAAAAACUUGGCAUAGGAAGGGAUUUUGUGAUAACAUCUACAAAUAGAAAUUUGACUUGAACUAUUUGCAUAUGUCAUAAAUCUAAGAAUUCAGUGACCUCUCUUAGGUUUAGCCAUCUCUGGGAACAGGGUAUGUUUCAAAUUUUCAUACCCUCAUCUCAGAUGCACAAUAGCUUUUUGAAUGCAUUAGAAUUUUUCUUGUCUCUGUCUUUUUUCUUCACUAUCUUUAUUUUUACCCUCUCUCUUCUGUUUGAUUGCCCCAACACCAGAAAAAUAUCAUCCUUUUUUGUCUUGAUGCUUUCUUUAGGCCGCAGUGAUGCUUUGUCUAUUUGUUUUUUGCCUCCUAAGGGUAGUGAUGGCAUGGCUUGUUCAUGUGUUGUGUCGACAAGUUUAUGUUUUUUUGUUUGGGUUCGGUUGGGGUUGAGUCGGAAACCGCCCUUGGUUUGUUGAGUCAUUAACAUCUUGUAGAUGUUCUUUGACUAUCGUGUGGUUCCCCUUAUGCUUGCUCAAGAUUAUUGACCCUAUUGUGAGUGCUCUUAGUCAUUGGCCGUUUGGUUGACCUCAUUAUUCCUCCAAUGAUGAGUUGGUAUGUAGCCAGUCUAUGUGGUAUAGGUAUAGUCUCGGUAGUGUGGGAUAGUCAUUUGAUGACCUUGGAGGUGUUGUGGGGGUUGUUAGAACUGUUGAGGGUCUUGUUUCCACCCAAAGUUAGGGUAAUUCUUCUAACUCGGAUUGUAUGUAUUGGAAUAGGGAUUGUUCCCACUCCUUUGAUUUUUUUUUGGUACCCCCCUUUAGAAUUGACCAACAACAUUUACUUGGCCAUUAAAUGCUUCCCUAACACCUGGUUAUAACUGGAAUGAUGCCCGUUUAGUUGUCAUGGUCUUGUGUGGAACAAACAGUCAAAUUGAGGGUAUUGUGUCAAACCAGUAACAAAAGUGGUGGCCUUGGAGGUUUCCAAAGCCUCCAACUUGCGUGUGAGUGACGUGACAUUAGAUUGUAGGUCUUCUAACUCCCCUAAUUGGUAUUUGCCUCCAACUUGUGGUUUUGUUCAUGAAACUUUGAGCCCCCAUGAAAUUUGGAGUCCCUACACUAGCCCAAUCUUUUGCCAUGUUGGUAUUGACCCAAUCUCUAGUUAAAUUGGCUAGAUAGUCCAAGAAUUUGAUGCUCAAUGGGGUUUGUGGGGUACGUUCAUGCGCACAUGGAUCUACGACAUCUUCAAUUAAGAAGUCAAUGAAAAGUAGAAUGUGUUUAUCGUGUGCCAUUCGGGAAAACCAUGGUGUGGAUAUGCAAACAAUAGGUCCUUGAACCUCUCCCAAUACUGAAAGAAAGUUUCACCAUUGUUCGGUGCGAAUUGAGAAAUGGCACGUCUUAGUGCCUCUGUGCGAUUUUCGGGAAAGAAUUUUUUUAAAAACUCUCCCUGGUUUGUGUAUGCCAUGGAAUGUAAGGACAUAGGCCUUAGUGAAUUGAACCACACUAGCCUUGUCCUUAGAGUUAAUGGAAAGAGUUUAAGAGUAAAAUCCUCCACGGACUGUGUUUAUUUGAAAAGAGGCCGCAUUCGACCUCAAAUUGUGAUGUGAGAAAUGUUUGUUCUGAGUCUAAAAGCCAUGAAAUUGGGUAAAGGCUGUAGCAUUCCGAUUUAACGUUGAGUGUGGCUUGAUUGUGCGGGAAUGACAUGGAGAUGUGGGGUGUUUGUCAGGGGUGGAGGAGUUCCAUGUAUUCCCUCAUUGUAACGGAGUUGGGCAUCGGCUUCCUCCCCACAUUAUUUUCUUCCCCUUUCCAUUGUUCUCCAUUUCCUCCCAUUGUUUCAGCGUUUUCAUUUCCCAGGAGAUUGUUAGGUUUUCCAUGGUAUAGGUUCCCAAGUCAACAACCAAGGGAAAUCAAGCAAAUCUAUUGGGUUUCGACAGGUGGAAUGGAGUCAACAAAGUAGGUGAAGGUUACGCAAAGGUAAACUCUGACAUGACGAUUGUGUGAUCUCUAAAGAAAUUGGACAUAUUAUGCAAUGCAACACAUAAAGCAUCAAUCCUUUCGAACCUCCACUCUCCACAGUAAUAAUACUCCGUUGCACAGAAUUGUAAAAGCAACCCAUUCAAUCAAUCCUCCAAUCUCCACAUAACUAGGCAUAAUCACCAAUAACAUUUAGCACAUAACCUAGCCGCCUCUAGUUCCACCUCCUAACUACCAUAUGCCUAGACCCAUAAAAAGUAAGAAAAAGCAAAUAAAAUUCUAAAAUUCUAACACAAAAAGAUGGAACGAAAUCACCAAAUGGCCUUAGCCAACGAUUUCUCUAUUGUUGUAGAUUGAUCAUGAAGCAAUCCGAUGAAACUCGCGUUGACUAAGGGUCGUGUUCAAGCAUGCCUCUUGUUGUCACUUGUGCGAAAGCAAAGCUCCUUUCCCCGGGCACGGCAACCAAAAACUUGACUCACGUCACCGUGUACUCCUUGUAGAUGAUCCAAGUGAAGGCACGACGGAGGUAUCUCUCACAGUAACGAUGUUUAUAUCACAGGGAGCUAUGUGCACAAGAACAUAAGCACUAGAACACUAUUCUCAAUCGCUCACAAAUCUCGAACCAACUGCUUCUAAAAUGAAAAUAUAAAAUUGUUUGUUUUGAGAAUGAUUUGUUAUCUAAACUAGCUAAAAAGCUAAAUGAAGGAACAUGAACUAAAUUGACUUUAAAUUGAUGAGAGAAAAUCUUGGGAUUGAUCGUUCCAACCAAUUUUGGUUCUCAAAAUUCCAAAGGAAAUGAUUUUAUAACUUAAAUCCUUUGACUUUGUCGAUAGUCGCGGAAUCAGAAGAUUAAAUAAUAAAAACACAUAUUCUUUCAAGAAGUUCAAUUUUUAGAUUAAAACUUAUUUUUAGAUUGAAAAAGAAUUACCACUUAUUCGUGCAAAGCCUAUACUGAAUGAGAAUUUAUGCAUAAACGUUACCAAAUAUGGAAAAACUUCAGGUUUUCAAUGAUACCUAGAACAAAGAAUUAAAAGAAAGAUAGAACUAAACAUUUGCACUUUAAAACCGAAAUCUCACCUCCUUUGUUCAUCCAAGAGUCUCAAUCAGUCUUUUCAACUAACCCCAAGAUGAAAGAAGUUAGCUACUCAUCUUCAUUAAAGAACAAGCUAAAACUAUUGAAAAAGAAGCCUAAAAAAAUUUGUGAAAAGUGUAAGGAAAACAAAAAGAAAAUUUCGUAUUGAAUACAAGAAAAAAGAUGGAAAAACUUGUAAUAAACUUCAAUUACAAUUGAUUACAACUAGAGAAGUGAAAAAUUUACUAAGAUCCAAUGAUUCUAAGCUUAGAACUUAUAAAAAGCGGCCUGUUGUAUGUAUGUAAUAAAACUCUGAUAAAACAAAAAUUUACGAUAAAGGUCGUAUUUAUAGGCCCCAUGAUGAUUGCGAGGCCCUAGAAAGUUCAGCCGAAAUUUGCCCGGCAUUGGAAAGCCCGGUCAUUUUUUCCAACUAUUGGAAACGUGGUAUUGGAAUGCUUUGGCUAUAAAAAUAGAAAUCAUCUCUCAGGAUGUUGGAACGCCACGUUGGAAUGCCGACCAAAAAACUUGCUCCCUUUAUUCUUGAUUUUGAGGCCCUUCGAAGCCAAUUGGCUGACGCAAGUUAGACCGCAAAACAUUUGUAACUUGACGAGAUCUUGCAACGUGUAACUUUUUGUAAAAUCAGCUCAAUUGGACUUCUGCCAGCAAAUAUAUGGACCCUUUUCGCGCGAUUUGCCGAUAGAAUUUCUCAAUUUGCCAUACCCGUAAAUCCCGGAUCAUCAUAAAGCUCUAAAUAUAAUCUUU